AGUCCUAUUUCUUAUCCCACACCCACCCCCAUCUCCCACUGUACUUCCCCAUUUCGAGGGAAGAGGUGGUUAAUAUAACCUCUUUCUCUUUCUUUAGCAAAGGAUACAAUUCUUGAUUUUUUUUUUCUUUGCCUGCCAAAUGUACAUUCUUGUCUUGAUAAAAAAUACUGGUUUGAUUAUAUUAGCAUAGGGGUUUCUCCAUUAAUUGAGUUCUUUCUAGGAAUUUACCUGAUCUUACCUGGUUUUGGGGAUUCAUCUUUUGUGAAUAUAUAACAACAAUUUGCAUUUUGUUGGUUGGGAUUCUAAAUAUUGAUUCUUCUUCAGAUCUGAGUGCCUGUAAAGAUAUUUACAGCAGAGAAAAGGAUCUUACUUUAUAGACAUUUGGUGUAAUUAAUUAAAGAUUAAAGUUAGGUUCUUGAGAGGUUCUCAAGAAUGGCUUAAAUUAAAGGGAUGGAUAUCAAUGCAGUUUAAUCUUGGUGAGUUUGGAUAAAUUGGAUGGAUGUGUAUGAAUCAGAGAUAGCAUUAAAGAAACAUUCUUCAACAGUGGAGACAAAAAGAGGUACUCCAUUGAUUCAACCUGAGAAGAACAAUGGAAACAACACACGUAGAUCAAGAACUAGAGAAGUUAGUUCCAGAUACAGGUCACCUACUCCAUCAACUUCCUCAGGUCCUAGUAGACGUUGUUCUUCUCCAAAUGUCACAAGAAUUGGAACUACUACUACUACAUCGACAUUGUCGUUACCUAAGAGAGCGAUAUCGGCUGAAAGGAAACGUCCCACAACACCCUCAUCACCUACCAGUCGAUCACCAUCAACACCUGUACAUGAUACAUCUGUGGAAGAAUUGUUGUCUAGAAAGUUAGCAGGCAACAGGUUGCCUGAAUCUUUGUGGCCAUCAACAAUGAGGAGUCUAAGUGUUUCUUUUCAAUCGGAUACGUUUUCUUUACCUGUUGGCAAGAGAGAAAAACCUGCUCCUCAUGCUUUAUGUGAUCGUACGUUAAGGCCAUCAUCAAAUGUAGUACAGAAACAAGGUGAAACACAUCCUGGUUCUCGAAAGGCGACGCCUGAGAGGAGGAGGAGUCCAUUGAAGGGAAAGAAUUCAGUUGAUCAAGGAGAGAAUUCUAGACCUGUUGAUAGUUUAAAUGCUCGAUUAGUUGAUCAGCAUCGAUGGCCAAGUAGAGUGAAUAUGAAGGUGGUACCUUCUGGUUCUAUGAACAGAAGUAUUGAUCUGAGUGAUAAGAAGAGCAAAAUCGCGCCUUCCUUGAGGAGAUUGUCAUUGGAUGGUUAUAGCAAACCAUUGCAAAAAUCUUCCAGCGACUUGCUGUCACUAGAAUCAUCUGAUGAUGGAGUAAAAGUUCGUGGUCGAUCAGUAGAUGAUAAUUCACUUUCAAUGCAGAAGUCCACAUCUUCGACUUCAUUGGAUAGAACAGUAUCGGGGAAUCCAGUAGCUAGAGCUCACACUGUAUCGGCUCCUGGAUCACGGUUUCCUUCACCAAACAAAGCAUCUUUUUUAUCAUCCUCUGCAUCUAGAGGAGUCAGUCCAUCUCGAGUAAAAUCAGUCCCAAGUACACCAUCUAGAGGGCCAAGUCCUUCUCGGAUAAGACCAUCUAGUCCAUCUAGACAACAACCCAAAACUGCUACUUCUGUCCUCAGCUUUAUUGCAGAUAUCAAAAAGGGAAAGAAGGCAGCUAACCACAUAGAAGAUGUUCAUCAGUUGAGGCUAUUGUAUAAUAGACAUCUCCAAUGGAGGUAUGCUAAUGCCAGGUCAGAUGCAGCAUUGCACGCGCAGAAAGUUAAAGCUGAGAAAACAUUGUACAAUGUCUGGAGAAAUACCUCAAACCUAUGGGCUUCUGUUAUUAAAAAGAGAGUUGCGCUCCAACAGCUGAAGCUGAAGUUGAAGCUAUUUGCAGUUCUAAAUGAACAGCACACCUACCUGGAUGAGUGGGCUUCAAUUGAAGGGGAUCAUACCAGUUCAUUAUCCCAUGUUAUACAAGACCUACAAGCAUGCACUCUUCGUCUUCCAAUAACUGGACGAGCAAAGGGUGAUAUUGAAGGUGUAAAAGAAGCUGUUAGCUCAGCUGUUGAUGUAAUGCAGGCAAUGGGAUCCUCCAUGCGUUUUAUUUUAUCUAGGGCUUUGUACAAUCCUCAAUUGUUUGUUUGAUGGAUGUGGAUAAGAGAGAGUGAGAGAGCUGAUCAGGGAGAGAGAUAGAGAAAAGUCACUAGCACAGUCUUCUGUAACAGAGCCGGUAUCUAAAUUCUGAAGAGUUCUGUAGUCACAAAACUGAGAGUAUCACAACUCAAAAGUUGUGUAGUCAGGAUAGUUACCUCAUCCUUAUAUUUGCUUGUAGUCUUUGUUUCUUAUUUGGUCCAUUUUAUUGAGUUGGACGGUUAACAAAAAACUACUGAUACAUUUCACAUUGGCAAUUAUGCUUUUAGGUUAACUGGAAAGAGUAAAACAUUGUGCUUUAUCUUGUCGUAUCAUCAAAGUUGCACUUAUGGAAACUGUAGCAUACAUGGAAAAAGAAACCCUGUUAGACUUGUUAUUAUAUACUUUCCUUGGCCUGUUCUCUGAAUCAUCUAGCAAGAUUUUAUUGGAUAAACAUUCAUUAAAAUAGUUUUAAUUGUCAGUAUGUUUAGCAUCGGGAAAGAACCAUUUUGUACGUUUUAUUGCUUUCCAUCUCUCAUUCUCUCUUCAGUCCUUUCCCUGGGCCCCUUCUGCAGUGUCGAUUUUCAAAUAUUACAUUGGUUUGAAGGGAUAAAAUUGAUGUAUCUCGGAAAAGAUGCAAAAGAAUCCCUUCCAAAAGAUUCUCAAAAAACCCACUUGCUAUUCAAGAUAUGUUGCAUACAGGAAAGUAAACUCUAGACGAAUACCGUAAUACUCUGAGAAUUAGGCUUAAGAUUGUUACACUUAGGCUUCUGGAUUUCCUUUGGGCCUUAUGCACAGGUGGAAAGUGGAAGCUCUUAAUAUCCAAAGUCCAACUGAUAACUAGAUAGUAUUUCUUGUGUAAGAUAGCUAAAUUGAAGUACUAAGGAGUUGACACUACUUGAGCACAAACAGAAGUCAUGAGGCCUGCCAGUAAUUGUUGAAUCACAAAUUAUGAUACAUUUUUUGGCUAUCUAAUUACUUUGUUGUAGUCGGAACAUGAAAAAAUUUGACUUUCAAGAGCACGAGUGGAUUAUUUACUUGUAUAUUUGAAAUGUAUUAAAACAUCUAUUGAACCUGGCCAAUUGCUUGAAUGUCAAACAAUCUAAAGGCUCAACUUGAUAUCUUGAUUUGAUAGGAACUUCUGUAUAAUUUUGCCCGUACUGUUCCCUAAUUUUGCGCUCUGCAAUUUGCAGAUGGAAGGGAUGAACUGCCUGGUUUCUGAACUUGCUGACGUGGCAGCUCAAGAGCGAGCAAUGCUGGAUGAAUGUGAAGCCUUGUUGGCUUCAACAGCAGCUAUGCAGGUAGAAGAAUAUAGCAUUAGUUCUCAUCUUAUACAGUUGAA